CGAUUCACACCUUAGAACACCCAGCUCAAUGAGAUCCAUCAAAGCCCUAAAUCGAUUCCAACUAAAUUCGCCUCCCUUGCUCAAAUCGAAAGGAUCAAGGGAAGAACCCCAACAUUAAGAUUCAACCAAACGAAGGUCUCGACAUAGAAAAAGGAUCCAAACCCUAGGGAUUUGGUAUCUAUAGCUUAAAUCAAGAUCUUAGCAACAAGGAAUCAUGAAGAAGAAAACGUACUUGUGCGUGAGAUCUCAGAUGAAGCUAGAUGAAGCUAAUUGCACGAAAAUACUAUAGGAAAAUACACUAGGGACUCUUGUGCAAAAGGAUGACAUGAUAAAGGCUUACUUAUGAAGUGUUCUAGCAUGGUGUCAAGUGGAGUUCUAUUGAAAACACCCAGAUUAAUGAAAUGGUGCAUAAAGAUAGGAUGAUGAAUAAAAAAUGGGAAAUUAGGGUUUUAGAAUUAGGUGGUGUUGACUUUGGUCAACUGUUGACCCAAAGGUCAAUAGUUGACUAGAAAGUCAACCUUACCAAAAUCUUUAUUUUUUUAAUAACUUUUUUUUAUGAAUAAUGUAAAAUGUUUUAUAUGAAUGUAAUGGACAAUAGUUUCAAUCAUGUAUUAUGGAUUUGAAUGAA